GAAAUGUGAUAACUAAUGUGAAUUGCAGAAUUCAGUGAAUCAUCGAGUCUUUGAACGCACAUUGCGCCCCCUGGUAUUCCGGGGGGCAUGCCUGUCCGAGCGUCAUUGCUGCCCUCAAGCCCGGCUUGUGUGUUGGGCCCUCGUCCCCCGGCUCCCGGGGGACGGGCCCGAAAGGCAGCGGCGGCACCGCGUCCGGUCCUCGAGCGUAUGGGGCUUCGUCUUCCGCUCCGUAGGCCCGGCCGGCGCCCGCCGACGCAUUUAUUUGCAACUUGUUUUUUUCCAGGUUGACCUCGGAUCAGGUAGGGAUACCCGCUGAACUUAAGC
rnacentral:misc_RNA from 1 species